rfam:Triticum aestivum genome assembly, contig: Triticum_aestivum_CS42_TGACv1_scaffold_378221_5AL
AUGCUACUCUCUCUGUCCGAAAAUACUUGUCAUCAAAACAGACAAAAAGGGAUGUAUCGAUACAUCUCUUUUUGUUCAUGUUGAUGAUAAGUAUUUUCAAACGAAGGGAGUACAUA